rnacentral:rRNA from 1 species
CGGCGACUCGCCGAAUGAGUUUCUGACCUAUCAACUCGAGACGGCGGGGGUAGAGGCCCGCCGCGGUAACGACGGGUAACGGGGAAUCAGGGUUCGAUUCCGGAGAGGGAGCCCGAGAAACGGCUACCACUUCCAAGGAAGGCAGCAGGCGCGCAACUUACCCUAAUCUCGAUUCGAGGAGGUAGUGACAAGAAAUACCGAUGCGGGACCCUACGGGUGCCGCGUUCGGAAUGAGUACGAUUCGAACCACCUAACGAGGAACGAUCGGAGGGCAAGUCUGGUGCCAGCAGCCGCGGUAAUUCCAGCUCCAAUAGCGUACGUUAAAAGUUGCUGCAGUUAAAAAGCUCGUAGUUGAACGUUCGGGUUCCGCGGGACGGGGCCGCCCCGCGAGGGACGGCGCCGCCCCGGGGCUCGUGAUAUCUUAUCUCGCCGCCCGUCGCGAGGCGGACGGAGGGAUGGA